rnacentral:rRNA from 1 species
ACGGGGGAUGCAAGCGUUGUCCGGAUUUAUUGGGUUUAAAGGGUGCGUAGGUGGUUUGAUAAGUCAGUGGUUAAAUUAAGCAGCUCAACUGUUUACAUGCCAUUGAUACUGUCAGACUUGAGACUUGAGGGGGUAAGCGGAAUUGGUAGUGUAGCGGUGAAAUGCAUAGAUACUACCAGGAAUAUCGAUAGCGAAGGCAGCUUACUACACAAGGACUGACACUGAGGCACGAAAGCGUGGGGAUCAAACAGGAUUAGAUACCCUGGUAGUCCACGCCGUAAACGAUGAUAACUCGUUGUUAAUGUUCGCAUUAGUGACUAAGGGAAACCGAUAAGUUAUCCACCUGGGGAGUACGGUCGCAAGACUG